UACGAAGGGGGCUAGCGUUGUUCGGAAUUACUGGGCGUAAAGAGCUCGUAGGCGGCUUGUUGCGUCGACUGUGAAAACCCGCGGCUCAACCGCGUGGCUUGCAGUCGAUACGGGCAGGCUAGAAUUCGGUAGGGGAGACUGGAAUUCCCGGUGUAGCGGUGAAAUGCGCAGAUAUCGGGAAGAACACCUAUGGCGAAGGCAGCUCUCUGGGACGGUACUGACGCUGAGACGCGAAAGCGUGGGGAGCGAACAGG
rnacentral:rRNA from 1 species